rnacentral:lncRNA from 1 species
CCUCCCACUGACUUCACCAAGUCAGAUCAAAGAAGACUAGGCAUAAACUGGUCCAACCAACUAGUCAUAAAUCUUUUCACUGACUUCACCAAGUCAGGAAGAGGACUUUAGACAAGUUGAACUAGGGGCACCUAAAUCAGUCAUAUUAAUUUUCUAGUUAGCAUGGGUCAAUCUCAAUCAUUAAGUGAUCUAAUCAAAACAUGAUUUACCAUAUUGGCC